UACGAAGGGGGCUAGCGUUAAUCGGAAUUACUGGGCGUAAAGCGUGCGCAGGCGGUUUUGUAAGACAGAUGUGAAAUCCCCGGGCUCAACCUGGGACCUGCAUUUGUGACUGCAAGGCUAGAGUACGGUAGAGGGGGAUGGAAUUCCGCGUGUAGCAGUGAAAUGCGUAGAUAUGCGGAGGAACACCGAUGGCGAAGGCAAUCCCCUGGACCCGUACUGACGCUCAUGCACGAAAGCGUGGGGAGCAAACAGG
rnacentral:rRNA from 1 species